GGGAGUAUAACUCAGUUGUAGAGCAUUCGACUCCCAAUCGAGAGGUCCCUGGUUCAAAUCCGGGUGCCCCCU